UGGGAUGUGGCUCAGUGAGAGAGUGCUUGCCUCACAUCAUGAAGCUCUGGGUUCAAUCCCCAGCACCACAA
rnacentral:tRNA from 1 species